AUGCUUUGAAAAUAUAGAAGAUAACAUUGACAAUAGAACUUACUUGAUUGAUGUCCUUGGAAUGUUGACACAAAUUAAUCCUCCACAUCUAAUUGGCUACAACAACUCAACCAUCAUCAGAGACAUCUUCAU